UACGAAGGGUGCAAACGUUGCUCGGAAUUAUUGGGCGUAAAGCGCACGUAGGCGGCUUUGCAAGUCGGAUGUGAAAUCCCUCGGCUUAACCAAGGAAGUGCAUCCGAAACUGCAGAGCUUGAGUACUUAAGAGGAUCGCGGAAUUCCCGGUGUAGAGGUGAAAUUCGUAGAUAUCGGGAGGAACACCAGUGGCGAAGGCGGGUCUCUGGGCAGUAACUGACGCUGAGGAGCGAAAGCGUGGGGAGCGAACAGG
rnacentral:rRNA from 1 species